ACAUAUGUGCUCGCCUUCACACUCUUCAUCCACUCAACCCCUGUGCACUUUAUCAGAGUUAGUAAUAGUAUUGUGGUGGCGGCCAUUUGUUGUUAUUCAUUGUUAGAAGCGGGGGGGUAACCCUGUCUGGCAAUAGUAAUGAUAAUAAUCUUGGUUCUACUACUACUACUAUGAACACUUUGACUUUUAUUUAUACAAACACUUUGCUUGUUCUUGUGAAUGUGUAAUGCUCCUUGUGAGCGAAAUACAAAUAUACAACUUUCAACAACGGAUCUCUUGGCUCUCGCAUCGAUGAAGAACGCAGCGAAAUGCGAUAAGUAAUGUGAAUUGCAGAAUUCAGUGAAUCAUCGAAUCUUUGAACGCACCUUGCGCCCCUUGGUAUUCCGAGGGGCAUGCCUGUUUGAGUGUCAUGUAAUUCUCAAUCCUCUUCUUCUUAACUGAAGAAAAAGAGGCUUGGACUUGGAGGUAUACACAAGCUGGUACUGUUUGGUAUCGGCUCCUCUUAAAUACAUUAGCUGGACUGUAGUUCGCAUUGUUUGGUGUAAUAGUUCUAUCUUAUUUCACUACAGUGCUUACUUAGACGGGUCUGCUUCCAAUAGUCCGCCUAUGUGU
rnacentral:misc_RNA from 1 species